rnacentral:rRNA from 1 species
CUGAAACCGUGUACGUACAAGCAGUGGGAGCACGCUUAGGCGUGUGACUGCGUACCUUUUGUAUAAUGGGUCAGCGACUUAUAUUCUGUAGCAAGGUUAACCGAAUAGGGGAGCCGAAGGGAAACCGAGUCUUAACUGGGCGUUAAGUUGCAGGGUAUAGACCCGAAACCCGGUGAUCUAGCCAUGGGCAGGUUGAAGGUUGGGUAACACUAACUGGAGGACCGAACCGACUAAUGUUGAAAAAUUAGCGGAUGACUUGUGGCUGGGGGUGAAAGGCCAAUCAAACCGGGAGAUAGCUGGUUCUCCCCGAAAGCUAUUUAGGUAGCGCCUCGUGAAUUCAUCUCCGGGGGUAGAGCACUGUUUCGGCAAGGGGGUCAUCCCGACUUACCAACCCGAUGCAAACUGCGAAUACCGGAGAAUGUUAUCACGGGAGACACACGGCGGGUGCUAACGUCCGUCGUGAAGAGGGAAACAACCCAGACCGCCAGCUAAGGUCCCAAAGUCAUGGUUAAGUGGGAAACGAUGUGGGAAGGCCCAGACAGCCAGGAUGUUGGCUUAGAAGCAGCCAUCAUUUAAAGAAAGCGUAAUAGCUCACUGGUCGAGUCGGCCUGCGCGGAAGAUGUAACGGGGCUAAACCAUGCACCGAAGCUGCGGCAGCGACGCUUAUGCGUUGUUGGGUAGGGGAGCGUUCUGUAAGCCUGUGAAGGUGUGCUGUGAGGCAUGCUGGAGGUAUCAGAAGUGCGAAUGCUGACAUAAGUAACGAUAAAGCGGGUGAAAAGCCCGCUCGCCGGAAGACCAAGGGUUCCUGUCCAACGUUAAUCGGGGCAGGGUGAGUCGACCCCUAAGGCGAGGCCGAAAGGCGUAGUCGAUGGGAAACAGGUUAAUAUUCCUGUACUUGGUGUUACUGCGAAGGGGGGACGGAGAAGGCUAUGUUGGCCGGGCGACGGUUGUCCCGGUUUAAGCGUGUAGGCUGGUUUUCCAGGCAAAUCCGGAAAAUCAAGGCUGAGGCGUGAUGACGAGGCACUACGGUGCUGAAGCAACAAAUGCCCUGCUUCCAGGAAAAGCCUCUAAGCAUCAGGUAACAUCAAAUCGUACCCCAAACCGACACAGGUGGUCAGGUAGAGAAUACCAAGGCGCUUGAGAGAACUCGGGUGAAGGAACUAGGCAAAAUGGUGCCGUAACUUCGGGAGAAGGCACGCUGAUAUGUAGGUGAAGCGACUUGCUCGUGGAGCUGAAAUCAGUCGAAGAUACCAGCUGGCUGCAACUGUUUAUUAAAAACACAGCACUGUGCAAACACGAAAGUGGACGUAUACGGUGUGACGCCUGCCCGGUGCCGGAAGGUUAAUUGAUGGGGUCAGCGCAAGCGAAGCUCUUGAUCGAAGCCCCGGUAAACGGCGGCCGUAACUAUAACGGUCCUAAGGUAGCGAAAUUCCUUGUCGGGUAAGUUCCGACCUGCACGAAUGGCGUAAUGAUGGCCAGGCUGUCUCCACCCGAGACUCAGUGAAAUUGAACUCGCUGUGAAGAUGCAGUGUACCCGCGGCAAGACGGAAAGACCCCGUGAACCUUUACUAUAGCUUGACACUGAACAUUGAGCCUUGAUG